rfam:Methanobrevibacter smithii ATCC 35061, complete genome.
GGCAAGCUGACCGAGCGGCUUAGGUGCGUGGCUGCAGACCAUGAUACUGGGGUUCAAAUCCCUAGCUUGCCU